rnacentral:rRNA from 1 species
CCUACGGGAGGCAGCAGUGGGGGAUAUUGCACAAUGGAGGAAACUCUGAUGCAGCGACGCCGCGUGAGUGAAGAAGUAUUUCGGUAUGUAAAGCUCUAUCAGCAGGGAAGAGGGCCCGUAAGGGAGAUGACGGUACCUGACUAAGAAGCCCCGGCUAACUACGUGCCAGCAGCCGCGGUAAU